GAUGAACGCUGGCGGCGUGCUUAACACAUGCAAGUCGAACGAAACACCUUAUUUUGAUUUUCUUCGGAACUGAAGAUUUGGUGAUUGAGUGGCGGACGGGUGAGUAACGCAUGGGUAACCUACCCUGUACAGGGGGAUAACAGUCAGAAAUGACUGCUAAUACCGCAUAAGACCACAGCACCGCAUGGUGCAGGGGUAAAAACUCCGGUGGUACAGGAUGGCCUCGCGUCUGAUUAGCUAGUUGGUGAGGUAACGGCCCACCAAGGCGACGAUCAGUAGCCGGACUGAGAGGUUGAACGGCCACAUUGGGACUGAGAUACGGCCCAGACUCCUACGGGAGGCAGCAGUGGGGAAUAUUGGGCAAUGGGCGCAAGCCUGACCCAGCAACGCCGCGUGAAGGAAGAAGGCUUUCGGGUUGUAAACUUCUUUUGUCAGGGACGAGUAGAAGACGGUACCUGACGAAUAAGCCACGGCUAACUACGUG
rnacentral:rRNA from 1 species